rnacentral:rRNA from 1 species
GUAGGGAAUCUUGCGCAAUGGGCGAAAGCCUGACGCAGCCAUGCCGCGUGAAUGAUGAAGGUCUUAGGAUUGUAAAAUUCUUUCACCGGGGACGAUAAUGACGGUACCCGGAGAAGAAGCCCCGGCUAACUUCGUGCCAGCAGCCGCGGUAAUACGAAGGGGGCUAGCGUUGCUCGGAUUUACUGGGCGUAAAGGGCGCGUAGGCGGACAUUUAAGUCAGGGGUGAAAUCCCGGGGCUCAACCUCGGAACUGCCUUUGAUACUGGGUGUCUUGAGUAUGAGAGAGGUGUGUGGAACUCCGAGUGUAGAGGUGAAAUUCGUAGAUAUUCGGAAGAACACCAGUGGCGAAGGCGACACACUGGCUCAUUACUGACGCUGAGGCGCGAAAGCGUGGGGAGCAAACAGGAUUAGAAACCCGGGUAGUCC